rnacentral:lncRNA from 1 species
UGCAUGGGAAGAGCUGUGAGACAAGUUCAUUUAAUCACUUGGAAUACAUCAUGUUAACUCAAGGAAGAAGCGCUGUGCCUGAAAAGCCAGGAUAAACGGCCCAGUGUGUAUAUGGACACAUGCAAACACAUACUCUCGGAGAGGGAGGGGAAGAGGGAGGCGGCAGAAGAGAUUAUGUGCUCUCCUAUCAUAGCGCCUUCAUACCCCUCACUCACAUCUACAGAAGUGUCUUCAAGACAGAAGUGUGCCCCAGCCACAAGAAGCUCAUAUACCACACUUCAGUGGAGAAUUAAAAGAGACAAACAUUUAUAAGUAGGAGCAACACUACACUGUAUACAGUGUAGUUACGAGAACCAUAACCAUUUCAAGCAGUAGGGACAAUGACAGCGUGGAGUUGGAAAAGUAUGGGUUUUGCCCUCUUGAGAACACACAUGCUGCAACAUAGUGUUGUACCUGUAGCUCACAGCCCCGUGACUGAUGUAGCACAGUGGAAGGACAGAAACAAAUGCUACCAUGUCCUUCAUACUCAACCUCAACACCACGGCAACCAACCAUGGGUCAUGAUCACUGGAAUAAAAGCUGUCUGCUUGAGGCUAUAGAGCUCUGUCUGGCAUCAGGGGCUCUCUGCAAUGCUGUAGGUGUUCUGAAAAGUGGCUACCCUAAUGAGGGAAAUGACUGGCACUGGUUGGGAUGGAUCAGACAGGUGGUUCCAAUGCAGCAUUGGAAGUUCCUUACAAUGGCAAACAGAGAACCUGGCCUCUCUUAUCAACUUAUGCAAAGUCCUGACAUAUUUCUGAAUCACAAGAAGAAACAUUUCUGA